rnacentral:rRNA from 1 species
GUCUACGGCUUGCCACCCUGAACAAGCCUGAUGUCUGAUCUUGGAAGCUAAGCAGGCUCUGGCCUGGUUAGUACUCGGAUGGGAGACCACCUAGUAAGACCAGAUGCUAUAGGCA